CCUACGAGAGGCAGCAGUGAGGAAUAUUGGUCAAUGGACGAGAGUCUGAACCAGCCAAGUAGCGUGAAGGAUGACUGCCCUAUGGGUGGUAAACUGCUUUUAUAUGGGAAUAAAAUGUUACACGUGUGGGAUUUGGGAUGUACCAUAUGAAUAAGGAACGGCUAACUCCGUGCCAGCAGCCGCGGUAAUACAGAGGAUCCGAGCGUUAUCCGGAUUUAUUGGGUUUAAAGGGAGCGUAGGUGGAUUGUUAAGUCAGUUGUUAAAGUUUGUGGCUCAACCGUAAAAUUGCAGUUGAAACCGGCAGUCUUGAGUACAGUAGAGGUGGGCGGAAUUCGUGGUGUAGCGGUGAAAUGCUUAGAUAUCACGAAGAACUCCGAUUGCGAAGGCAGUUCACUGGACUUCAACUGACACUGAGGCUCGAAAGUGUGGGUAUCAAACAGGAUUAGAUACCCCAGUAGUC
rnacentral:rRNA from 1 species